rnacentral:rRNA from 1 species
AAACUUUUAACAACGGAUCUCUUGGCUCUGGCAUCGAUGAAGAACGCAGCGAAAUGCGAUAAGUAAUGUGAAUUGCAGAAUUCAGUGAAUCAUCGAAUCUUUGAACGCACAUUGCGCCCGCCGGCAUUCCGGCGGGCAUGCCUGUCCGAGCGUCAUU